GUCCCUCGUCCCAGAGUCAGUGUGUUUCUGGUUAAAUGUCUGAAAUAAGGUCUGUGGUUUUAACACAAGCUCAAGACAUUUUCAGGUUUUAUUCUCCGACAUAAAAUGGGUCAGUAAAUCCUCCACUCCUGAUGUUUGAAGCUUUUACGUGUCUUAAAAAGGCGGUUGCUAACGAGUGUCUAAAUGAGACUACAGAGGUUGUCGGGGACGUUAACAUGAAAACCCAUCUACUCACCAGUCCACCUUUACAGCCUCGUUGUGUUUCUACUCACGCUCUUUCAAACUCUCACUAACUUUCUAAGAAGAAAGGCUUUUGUAGAAGAGCUCAGAGCUAAAUGAAAUGACCAGUUGGAAGCUUAGUGGUGGAGACGUUGACGUCAUGUGACCGUGGUGUAGUUGGUUUAUAGCCUAACAUUAGCUUCUUACUUCUGGAGGUUGGAUUUAGGCUUCAAACAUCAGAACAGUGGUGUUCAUCUGUGAAGAUGAUCAACUGAUCAACUAAACCUGAAGGAUCAGAAACUUUAGUUGAACAUGAGCACAC